rnacentral:rRNA from 1 species
GAUGAACGCUAGCUACAGGCUUAACACAUGCAAGUCGAGGGGUAACGAGAGGAAAGCUUGCUUUCCUUGUCGACGACCGGCGCACGGGUGAGUAACGCGUAUCCAACCUGCCCCCAACUAGGGAAUAACCUUGCGAAAGUAAGACUAAUACCCUAUAAUUUCCUCAGAUGUCAUCUGACGAGGAAUAAAGAUUUAUCGGUUGUGGAUGGGGAUGCGUCUGAUUAGCUUGUUGGUGGGGUAACGGCCCACCAAGGCAACGAUCAGUAGGGGUUCUGAGAGGAAGGUCCCCCACAUUGGAACUGAGACACGGUCCAAACUCCUACGGGAGGCAGCAGUGAGGAAUAUUGGUCAAUGGGCGGAAGCCUGAACCAGCCAAGUAGCGUGCAGGAUGACGGCCCUAUGGGUUGUAAACUGCUUUUAUACAGGAAUAAAGUUAGCCACGUGUGGUUAUUUGUAGGUACUGUAUGAAUAAGGACCGGCUAAUUCCGUGCCAGCAGCCGCCGUAAGAC